GCGGACGGGCUGAUUAACACGUGAGUAACCUACCUUCCAAAGGGGGAUAACGUCUGGAAACGGACGCUAAUACCGCAUAAUACUAUUUGAGGGCAUCCUUGGAUAGUCAAAGGAGGAAUCCGAUGGGAGAUGGACUCGCGGCUGAUUAGAUAGUUGGCGGGGUAGAGGCCCACCAAGUCGACGAUCAGUAGCCGGACUGAGAGGUUGAACGGCCACAUUGGGACUGAGACACGGCCCAGACUCCUACGGGAGGCAGCAGUGGGGGAUAUUGCACAAUGGGGGAAACCCUGAUGCAGCGACGCCGCGUGAGGGAAGACGGUUUUCGGAUUGUAAACCUCUGUCUUUGGGGACGAAUUGAGACGGUACCCAAGGAGGAAGCUCCGGCUAACUACGUGCCAGCAGCCGCGGUAAUACGUAGGGAGCAAGCGUUGUCCGGAAUUACUGGGUGUAAAGGGAGCGUAGGCGGGAUAGUAAGUUGAUUGUUAAAACUAUCGGCUCAACUGGUAGAUGCGAUCAAAACUGCAAUUCUUGAGUGAAGUAGAGGCAGGCGGAAUUCCUAGUGUAGCGGUGAAAUGCGUAUAUAUUAGGAGGA
rnacentral:rRNA from 1 species